UACGUAGGGAGCGAGCGUUGUCCGGAUUCAUUGGGCGUAAAGAGCUCGUAGGCGGCUUGGUAAGUCGGAUGUGAAACCUCCAGGCUCAACCUGGAGUCGCCAUCCGAUACUGCCAUGGCUAGAGUCCGGUAGGGGCCCACGGAAUUCCUGGUGUAGCGGUGAAAUGCGCAGAUAUCAGGAGGAACACCGAUGGCGAAGGCAGUGGGCUGGGCAGGCACUGACGCUGAGGAGCGAAAGCGUGGGGAGCGAACAGG
rnacentral:rRNA from 1 species